rnacentral:misc_RNA from 1 species
UGUGGGAGCUGGCUUGCCUGCGAUGACGGUGUAUCAGUCACCCGAUGUAUGACUGAUGGGCCGCUAUCGCAGGCAAGCCAGCUCCCACA